rnacentral:lncRNA from 1 species
UUUAACUGGGUAGUGCCUCAUGGCAGUCAUCGACCUUUGAGCCGUAGAACCGUAAGAUCAAACUGAGACUCAAGCCUGCAUAACCAUAGGAAGAAAAGGAUCAUCAACAAAGAGGACAAAGUGAAUCAGGAACCAGUUCCUGGUUCCUCUAAAAAAUCAUUCUAAAUGACAAACUGUGAGAAGAAAAAAGAACUGGUCUAAUGACAUAGAUGUGUUAACCGGCAAACACUACCAAGUCAGAUCAAAUACUCAGCUUAUUUCUGUCCCUUUUCAAUAUUAAGAACGAUUAUUAAGUAACCAGGUACAUAACAAAAACGAAUAAUGCCUACAUAGUAGCUCAUCUCUCUUAAUACAUCUACACUGAUUUCGAUGUACAAUUUAGGACCAAUGGAAAACCAGAAAAACACAAAAAACCCACACAAUAAAGCUAAAACUAAAUAUUGCACGCCGUCGAGACCUAUCUGGCGUGCAACAUCUGUCACUACAGAAGGACAUCGGCGUCAAUCACAGCGGUAGGGCCAUCAGCAUAGCCAACAGGAAUUGCAGGCUGAACCACGGUCACAGCUACUGACUCCAACAUAUUUUUGAACGUAGAUAUGGUACAUGAUUGAGAAUACCUAAUCAGUAAAGCACCACUACCCAACCAUAAACAUAGAGGAAGUAAUAUGAGCCGAAAUCUCUAAUGGCAUGAAAAAAUUAGAGCAUGUUUGACAUAUCAUUUUGAAACUACAAAUAUGAAAUAAAUUACAGCCAAGAAAGAAAACAUUAAGUAGCUAGAGAGCAUACACUGCUUUCUAAUAGGAAAGAAGGUAAUUUAACUGGCAAGGUACUGCGACUGACUCCAACAUGAAAGAACAAAGAAAACUUUUAUAAUCAACCUCUGCCAUGCUCAUGUUUCUUUUGUAAUCAGUAGAGUAGUUGCAACCAUGCGCAUAUCACUAAGCAAAAAAAGAGAAGGUCACGACUUACUUAAUGUUUGACGGCGGCAAGAGCCACGAUGGCAUCGGCGGCGGUGGUGGCGUCCGAUCGCCAACAACCAUGCAUAUAUCAAGUGCCAUGAUAUGUGAAGCAAGACAUAGGAAUACAAGAGGGAAACAAAACAGAGGCACACAUGAUGCAUACUUUACCAUACAAACUUAAGGCAGCAAGAGAGGCCCCUAUAACUUGCUGGGAGCAUGUCUUUCUAGUAUAACAAAGUGCAGCUUACUCUUAACCAGAUUAAAUCAAGGACCAACAACAAACAAUAAAAGAUCAAGAACAACUCAUAUGCAAUAAAGGUAUGAGAGAGAAGAAAUCUUUACAUAAGACGACUAUAAACACCGGAGCAUAAAUAAGCAACACCUUUAAAUACAAAUAAAAAGGAUCCAGGGUUCAUUGCAUAGUGGGUUCAGAUCUGACUUUCCUCGAUCAUAUAACCUACCCCCGUCUCUUAUCACCAGAUCAAUCUGUUUAUACAGUGGAGCUGCCCUGGUUAUCACUCAACAAGAAUGACCAUCCAAGGACAGAGCAACAAGUAUCACA